CCCUUAGAUGUUCUGGGCCACACGCGCGCUACACUGAUGCAUUCAACGAGCCUAUCCUUGACCGACAGGUCCGGGUAAUCUUUGAAUCUGCAUCGUGACGGGGAUAGAUUAUUGCAAUUAUUAAUCUUCAACGAGGAAUGCCUAGUAGGCGCAAGUCAUCAGCUUGCGUCGAUUACGUCCCUGCCCUUUGUACACACCGCCCGUCGCUCCUACCGAUUGGGUGUGCUGGUGAAAUGUUCGGAUCGGCCGUUUGUCGCGGUUUCCGCGUCAUGUGGCUGAGAAGUUCAUUAAACCCUCCCACCUAGAGGAAGGAGAAGUCGUAACA
rnacentral:rRNA from 1 species